rnacentral:rRNA from 1 species
GCAGCAGCCGCGGUAAUACGUAGGGGGCGAGCGUUGUCCGGAUUUACUGGGCGUAAAGAGCGCGUAGGCGGCUUGUCAAGUCGUGCGUGAAAUACCUCGGCUCAACCGGGGGGUGUCGGGCGAUACUGGCAGGCUUGAGGCUGGUAGGGGGAAGUGGAAUUCCCGGUGUAGUGGUGGAAUGCGUAGAUAUCGGGAGGAACACCAGUGGCGAAGGCGGCUUCCUGGACCAGUCCUGACGCUGAGGCGCGAAAGCGUGGGGAGCGAACUGAAUUAGAUACUCAGGUAGUCCACGCUGUAAACUAUGGGUGCUAGGUGUCGGGGGUAUCGACCCCUCCGGUGCCGCAGCUAACGCAUUAAGCACCCCGCCUGGGGAGUACGGCCGCAAGGCUAAAACUUAAAGGAAUUGGCGGGGGAC